UCAUACAUUUUUCAGAAUAGACACAAACCCUUGGGGGUGGGAUUUUUUGGAGGUAUUUUUUUAAUAAAGGGGACCCACCUCAUGUGAGUAGAACACCUAUGAAAUGGAGUUCUGUACAUAUGGCAAAAGUCUAUACAUUUUGUCUCUCAAUUAUACAUCACACACAUACCUAUUUACUUACUUUGUUUCUCCAUUUUCCCUCCCGUUAUACAUCACAAGCUUCUUUUGCUCUCUUCAUUAGCAAAUUUGGGAAUGGAAUUUAGAGGUGGAAAAAGAAGAUGAAGAGGGGGUUGAAGAUAAAUCUGAUUAUGAUAGACUAUUCAAUGCCAUGGAUAACGAGAUAUGAACUAUGCAAAAAGAUCAAUCUAAGCAAUUGACGUUGUUGAAAAAUGGGUGAAGUGAGAGGAAUUGCUUCACUUUGCAGAAGGAGCCAUGACUGAGUUAAAAGUCAAUGCUUACAUUCGGAGGUUGAGUCAGUGUUGGACAAGGAAAAUUUUACAUUGGAAGAGCUUUUGGAUGAAGAAGAGAUAAUCCAAGAAUGCAAAUCAUUAAAUAGUUGCCUUAUCAAUUUGAAUGGCACCUUUACUUUUUAGCUGCAUAUUUCUAUUUAUUAUUAUUGUCAUCUAUGUUAGUUUUUAAUGAGUAAUGGUUCCUUGGCAAUCACACCCUUACCACGACCUGCUCUUUGAACAGUUGUUGCACUAUAUCGAGAGUCUCCGAUGAUGCGGAUAGCAAACGAAUGUUCAGAUGCCAUAUAGUUUUAGCUUUCAAACCAAAUUUAUUUUUCCCCAAAACUAGUCUUAUAAACAUGAAGUAUUAACCCGAUUUGCUUGUUUGUUGAUUAGUUACUGCAAAAAGUCAAGAAAUUAUAAUCUA